rnacentral:rRNA from 1 species
CAUGAGUGGCGGACGGGUGAGUAACGCGUGGGCAACCUGGCCUGUACAGGGGGAUAACACUUAGAAAUAGGUGCUAAUACCGCAUAACGGGAGAAGCCGCAUGGCUUUUUCCUGAAAACUCCGGUGGUACAGGAUGGGCCCGCGUCUGAUUAGCCAGUUGGCAGGGUAACGGCCUACCAAAGCGACGAUGCGUAGGGGUUCUGAGAGGAAGGUCCCCCACACUGGUACUGAGACACGGACCAGACUCCUACGGAAGGCAGCAG